AGCCCAAUAGAUCGGGAUAACACCUGGAAACAGAUGCUAAUACCGGAUAACAACAGAUGAUGCCUAUCAACUGUUUAAAAGAUGGUUCUGCUAUCACUCUUGGAUGGACCUGCGGUGCAUUAGCUAGUUGGUAGGGUAACGGCCUACCAAGGCGAUGAUGCAUAGCCGAGUUGAGAGACUGAUCGGCCACAUUGGGACUGAGACACGGCCCAAACUCCUACGGGAGGCAGCAGCC
rnacentral:rRNA from 1 species